GGAUGAAGUUGCUAAAGCUAACACACACGUGGUCAUAAUAUUUGACUGUCGUAAAGGUUGGUUCAGUGUAGAUGAGACAAUGAACCAUAAUGAGGGGAGCCAAAGGGGAUACUAUCGAGUCGAACGAGAUAGAGCUUGGUGUGAUUGUAGAAAGUUCUAAGCCUUAUGUAUUCCUUGCUCCCAUGUCAUAGCGGAAUGUUUAAAGGAUCGACAUGACCCUUCC
rnacentral:lncRNA from 1 species